rnacentral:tRNA from 1 species
AAGACUUUAAGUUAAAUGUAUAAACUUAUAGCCUUCAAAGUUAUACAUAUCUAAGAUUCAUGGGUAAGUCUUA